UACGGAGGGUGCAAGCGUUAUCCGGAUUCACUGGGUUUAAAGGGUGCGUAGGUGGGCUAGUAAGUCCGUGGCGAAAUCUCCAAGCUUAACUUGGAAACUGCCGUGGAUACUAUUAGUCUUGAAUAUUGUGGAGGUAAGCGGAAUAUGUCAUGUAGCGGUGAAAUGCUUAGAUAUGACAUAGAACACCGAUAGCGAAGGCAGCUUGCUACACAAUCAUUGACACUGAGGCACGAAAGCGUGGGGAUCAAACAGG
rnacentral:rRNA from 1 species